rnacentral:lncRNA from 1 species
AUCGGAGCUUGUUUGAGAAGUUUCAUGGUAAAAGGAUACAGCUACAUAUAUAGGGGGUGUUUGGCCUAGCUUUUAAAAAGCGCUUUUGGGCUGAAAAGUGAUUUUCGGCUUAAUAGAGCGUUUGGCAACUCACUUUUAAAAUCUGAUUCUACUUUUUAGAAUCAGAAAACUGAUUUUGAAGACCUCAGAAUCAGAAGCAGAAAAAAGCUGCUUCUUGAAAACUGAUUCUGAUUUUGGAUUUAAACUUCAAAAUUUUAUUUUUAUUUUAGUUUUAAUAUUUAAAUUUAAUUUUAAUUUUAAAUUUUAAAUUUUAUUUUUCAGAUUCAUUUUAAAAUUUUUAAAUUUUAACUUUUAAAUUUUAAAAUUU